GAAAUGUGAUAAGUAAUGUGAAUUGCAGAAUUCAGUGAAUCAUCGAAUCUUUGAACGCACCUUGCGCUCCUUGGUAUUCCUUGGAGCAUGCCUGUUUGAGUAUCAUGAAAUCUUCAAAGUAAAUCUUUUGUUAACUCAAUUGGUUUCUACUUUGGUAUUGGAGGUCUUUGCAGCUUCACACCUGCUCCUCUUUGUUCAUUAGCUGGAUCUCAGUGUUAUGCUUGGUUCCACUCGGCGUGAUAAGUUAUCUAUCGCUGAGGACACUGUAAAAGGUGGCCAAGGUAAAUGCAGAUGAACCGCUUCUAAUAGUCCAUUGACUUGGACAAUACUUUUAUGAUCUGAUCUCAAAUCAGGUAGGACUACCCGCUGAACUUAAG
rnacentral:misc_RNA from 1 species